UCCCUGGUGGUCCAGUGGUUAGGACUUGGUGCUUUUGCUGCCAUGGGCCCAGGUUCAGUUCCUGGUUGGGGAA